GGAGAGAAUGUGCCUUAACUUAAAAGGAGAUUGGGAGGAUUCUUCAAAAGAUGGCUUCCAUUCCAGCUUCUCAAAUGAUUCCUGAAUACUUGUUGGUUGAAACUAUGUUGUGUUGGACAUUUCUAAGAACCAAAAGGUUAAAUAAGAUCUUUGUCCAGAGAUUGUCUAAUACACCUCAAUUUGUAAAUACAACUAGUUAAAAUGUUCUCCUGGUAAAAAGUUGAUUGCAUGAGAAGAUUCUGUCAUCUUCCAUUUAGCGCUGUUUAUUGCUUCCACCCCAAUCGUGACUCCACUGACAGACACUACAGCGAGAAAGUGUCUCAGAAAACCAUUUCCAUAACUUUAAAAGCACCAUGUAUGUAAUAUCCAAAUAUUAAUCUAUUUGUGUCUUUAUUUGUUUAAUUUAUUGGACAGGAUGUCAAAAAGCAUUAAAGAUAACAAUGACAGUGAUAACCGUAAUAAUCAUGGAAGAUAAUCGUAUUACAAUUUUAGAUGUUAUGGCUGGGUCGAAGCACAACUAGCUGAGGACGACAUAAUGCAUGGCUAGAUUCGCACAGUUGUUCUCACCUGAUCCACUGCUGUUAGAUGCCCAGUGGGCAUGUUGCACAAGGAGCGGCUCAUGAGCGGUGGGUACUAGUUUGCACAGAUUGGGGAGGGUGGGUAGCAUUUUUGUGCAGCUUGGGCAGGGGAACUAUGUCUUAUAAGGGGUUGUUUGGAGAGCCUUGUCAGGUAUUGCUGUGCCAUUCUGUGUACCUAAGGAAUUUAUAGCCAUCUACAUCUUUGACUGCCUCAGCUGGUUAUGUUUCACGGAUCAAGGAGAUGUUCUGGAGCGCAGAUGUCAGAGGUUGUGGUGGGAAGUAAGGGGAUUUUUGGAUUAUGGGCCAUUGUCUAUGCUUCUCAGGUUAAAUAAUCAAGGCAGUCCAUGUCCAUUUUUGUUGUUUGGUUUAAGCUCAAAUUUUGCCUUCUGUGUAAUCAAAGCUUUAUUGUACUGAGAGUACACCUACCGAAUAUAUAUUAUGAGUUUUGAAGAUGAAAUCAAAAAGCCAACUACCCAUGUGACCACAACACCCUCAUUUUUGUUCUGCCUAAUAAUUGUACAUUCUUUUCUAGUGUAAAAAACAAUGGCAAAAUGUAUUUUUUUUAAUGCAUGUUUUAACAUUCUAGAACGGUGAGUGGUGUAUUGUCUCAGAAUGAGGCCAAGACAUAACUGAAUUGUGGGAUGGAGACAUCAAGUCUGAGGUCUUCAAGUCAAGGAUGCAUUCCAUAACUUCCUCUUAAUAGCUGUUAGAACGAACAGAUGCAGGUAGAUGGAAAAGAGGCGGUUUCUUAAGUCUUAAAGGACUUUUCACUUUUUCUCUACCCAGAAUGUGCAGGGAAGAAAGUAUGUUGGGCUUCACAAAGCCAUCAAGCUGAUAGCAGUUCUGUGAUUGUAACAAAAAAAAAGCACUUUGCAAAAGGCCAUCCAGAAUAUUGUGUGCUGUCUCCUUUGAUUAUUACUGUUAUUGUUUUUUCAUCUUGUUAAUGCAAUUUUUUUUUUUUAUCUCAUUGUGGAUGUAAUGAUUUAUUUAAAUGCAAAAACUACAUGAAAAGAAAAGAAACUUGAACAUGCGAUAUAUUUGGGUUGAAGUCCAUUUGAACUGCCGCCCCGUACCACACACAUCUCUGGAAAAAAAUACAGACAAAACAAGGAAUGGCAUAUGUUCAAGUUGUCAUACAUGUUUUCUUUUAACAGUUUUGCACCUUUAAACCCAAAUCUCAUUACAAAGGACUUUACAUUUGCUUAAAGGACAUUUCUUCCUGGGUUUCCAUUGUUCUGCAAUGUGCUUCAUAGACAGUUUUUAAGAGUAGAUCUAGAUUAUUGGUAUUGUUAGAGCUUAACUAUCCCAAACAAUGCCCACUAAACAGCUGCAGAUACGCAACUUGCAACCCUGUCCAAGACAGUCAGGUUUGGACCAUUAUAAAACUUUCCUGCAUAUGGACAAUAUAUGAUAUCUCUAAUUACUUUCCUUCUAUGUUGUUAGACAGUAAAAUAUAUUUUCCAUAUUGUUUUUGCAUAAAGUUUAAGAGUUUAUAAGGGACUUGUUAUAUACUCUGUUCAAAGCUGAUCUCUUGUACGUUUCACACUUCUUGCAUCAAAUCUGUACUCUUAAUUCAUUAUGUGGUUAAUCAGCUGAAUGGACACAAGUUCUGCACAGAAAACAAUAAUUCAUUUUCAGGCUUUGGGGGCACUUUUUUUAGCACUUAUGUUGACUUUGGGGCGGCAGAAAACUCCCAGUGUCUCAGGCUUGGACCGCAGAAACCCUUUUUUUGUUUUGUUAAUUCAAUCCUGUUCCUUUCCAUUGUCUGUCAGUGUGUGUUGAAGCUAUUGAGAUGUACAGGAGAAUUUGGGAGAAUUUGCACUUUUGGCGAUGAAAAGAAUUUGUAUUGUAUAUGAGACCACUAAAUCUACAUCGUCUAAAUCAAACAAUUCCAUGUUGUUUUCCUUUUUCAUUUUAUUCUUUUUCUUUUUUGUUUUGUUUUAUUUUUACGAAAUAUAUCCAAAAAUGUCUGACGUUUAAGAAAUAAGACAUUUCUAUUAAAAACAGAAUGUUUACGACC
ensembl:lncRNA